UAACUAACAUUAGCAUGAAAAUUUGAGGUUCUGACCCAGAUUUGAACCUAUGUUGUCUGGAGCAGCAGGCUGAUAUCUUUAUUGUCUUGGCUAUUCAACUACAAACCUUGAGAUGUUAGAAGAAAGCACCUUAUAUUCAAAGAAAACAGCAGAGGAAGAAGCAGCACAUAAAAUGGAUAAAUCAGAAGAUGAUAUACCAAAAUAAAAACUAAUUUUGUGAAUUAUUAAUAAUUAAAAUGUGUUUUUAAAUACUUUGUAGACUUGGGAAAAAUUAAAUAAAAAUAUAAUAGU